CCUACGGGGUGCAGCAGUGGGGAAUAUUGGACAAUGGGCGAAAGCCUGAUCCAGCCAUGCCGCGUGUGUGAAGAAGGCCUUCGGGUUGUAAAGCACUUUCAGUGGGGAAGAAAGCCUUGGGGCUAAUACCCUCGAGGAAGGACAUCACCCACAGAAGAAGCACCGGCUAACUCCGUGCCAGCAGCCGCGGUAAUACGGAGGGUGCGAGCGUUAAUCGGAAUUACUGGGCGUAAAGCGCGCGUAGGCGGUCUGAUAAGCCGGUUGUGAAAGCCCCGGGCUCAACCUGGGAACGGCAUCCGGAACUGUCAGGCUAGAAUGCAGGAGAGGAAGGUAGAAUUCCCGGUGUAGCGGUGAAAUGCGUAGAGAUCCGGAGGAAUACCAGUGGCGAAGGCGGCCUUCUGGACUGACACUGACGCUGAGGUGCGAAAGCGUGGGUAGCAAACAGGAUUAGAUACCCUUGUAGUC
rnacentral:rRNA from 1 species